rnacentral:rRNA from 1 species
GCGGAGGAAAAGAAACCAACAGGGAUUGCCUUAGUAGCGGCGAGUGAAGCGGCAAAAGCUCAAAUUUGAAAUCUGGCACUUUCAGUGUCCGAGUUGUAAUUUGAAGAAGGUAUCUUUGGGUCUGGCUCUUGUCUAUGUUUCUUGGAACAGAACGUCACAGAGGGUGAGAAUCCCGUGCGAUGAGAUGUCCCAGACCUAUGUAAAGUUCCUUCGAAGAGUCGAGUUGUUUGGGAAUGCAGCUCUAAGUGGGUGGUAAAUUCCAUCUAAAGCUAAAUAUUGGCGAGAGACCGAUAGCGAACAAGUACAGUGAUGGAAAGAUGAAAAGAACUUUGAAAAGAGAGUGAAAAAGUACGUGAAAUUGUUGAAAGGGAAGGGCUUGAGAUCAGACUUGGUAUUUUGUAUGUUACUCUCUCGGGGGUGGCCUCUACAGUUUACCGGGCCAGCAUCAGUUUGAGCGGUAGGAUAAGUGCAAAGAAAUGUGGCACUGCUUCGGUAGUGUGUUAUAGUCUUUGUCGAUACUGCCAGCUUAGACUGAGGACUGCGGCUUCGGCCUAGGAUGUUGGCAUAAUGAUCUUAAGUCGCCCGU